GUUUUUUAAUUUAUAAUUUGAGCCUAAAAGUAAUAUCAAAAUCUAAUAGUAAUUUCGAUAGGCUUCUUUUGGAUAGGUAUGAAUUUUAAAUAAUGAGGCAUUUAAAUUAGAUAUUAUGUUAAAAUUUUAUAAUUUUUCACGUGAAACACAAAUUCAAAUCCUCAAUUAUUUUAAAUGCAUCCCUGUCCAUACGAUGCCAAGCUUACAUGUGAUAAGUGAAACGCAUCCACUUUGACCUCUUAAGUCUGAACACGGUGCCGACGGCUCUUCAUGGCCUUCCCUCAACUAUUUAGUUGGCUACUGGUUAGUUUGAAAUGGUUACAAGUCACUUUGGAUGGAGAGAGUUCAGAUUGAAGAAUCAAGAUUUGCAAUCUCUAUUGGCAAACUUAUUUGUUUAUGGCAAAUUUAAGGACUAAAUUGAGAUUUUUCUUAUCAAACAUAUAGUACCCAACCUCGUUUCUUGCAGUCCAUCCAAAAAGAGGGACAUAAAUGGAUUGGUUGAGUGGUAACUUGAUUUCCAAUCUUUUUGAAAUCCAUCUUACACUCUAGUUCCAAUAAUUGUCAAGUACAUGUAAGACAUAAAUAAAUUGCACGUAUCUUUGCAUUUA